GAUGCUAUUGUCAAUGGAAUCACUUUUGUAAUUUUUUUCUGAUUGUUCAUUGUUAGUGUACAGAAAUGCAAGUUUUUUGUGGAUGGCUUUGUAUCCUGCUAUUUUGCUAAUUUUAUUUGUUCUAAUAGUGUUUUGUAUAAUCUUUAGGAUUUUCUACAUAUAAAAUCAUACCAUCUGUGAGUAGAGAUAAUUUUACUUCUUUUUUUCCAGUGUGAAUGUCUUUUAUUUCUUUUUUUGCCUCCUUGCUCUAUUUGAAUAGAAAUGGCAAGAGCAGGAAUUCUUGCCUUCUUCCUGAUCUUAUAGGAAAAGGUUUCAUUCUUUCACCAUUGAGUAUAUAGUGUUUGCUGUGGGUUUUUCAUAUCUGGCUUUUAUUAUGUUGAGGUAGUUUCCUUCUAUUCCGAGUUCGUUGACUGUUUUUAUCAUGAAAGGUUGUUGAAUCUUGUCUCACGCAUUUUCCGCAUCAAUUAAGAUGAUGUAAGGUUUUUUUCAUUCUCUUAUGAACCCCCAAAAAUCUGAGACAGGUCUCAGUCAUUUUAGGAAGUUUAUUUUGCCAAAGUUAAGGACGUGUGCCUGGGAGACAGGUCUAUGCCUUUCUCCGAACCUGAUUUUUAGGGUUCCAAAUUUAAAGGGGAAAGGGUGGGAUAUUGAAAAGUACACAAUUUUCAUGUAAGAGCAGGGUAGGGGGAAAAUAGUCAUUCAUGCCUUCGUCUGGCUCAGUGAAUUUGCAUUUUUACGUGAGGUAAUGUAGGGCAAGGGAGGAUAAGAUAACAAAGACAAAUGGGGCAGGGGAACAAUUGAAUAUGCAUUUGUGCCAGGUGGGCAGAGGGGUGAUGCCUCUGUAAAGAUAAGCUAUCAAUUUACAUUGCCAUGAUG